CAAACACCUUGGCUGCAGGGGAAGCCAUCCGUUUCCUCAACUGGUCCAACAGGCAAAAUGUAUUAAUAAUUAUAGUUUGCAGUGCUUGUUAAAGCAGCUGGUGGAGGGAGAGCAGGUUGAGCUGCCUUUUCCUUGGGCUCCAAACAAAUGAAACACCUCUUAUUCACUGCCACAUCCUAGGCGCUGGUGCAAAGGCCUUCUCUGGAUCUUUAGAAGUCAACCUUGAACAUGGGUCCCUGCUGCCUCUGAGUGCUUAUAGACAUCCAUGAAGACCACCCGAGGAUAAACUCACAGAGAUGCCUCCAAGAAGCCAGACAAAUAAGUUACCAAUCCCAAAGUGAAGGCUGGAGGAGAAAGGGGCACAAAUCUGUGAAUAAAAAAAGUGUACAGUGAUCAUCAUGGGGGAUGAAGAGCAGGGGCAUGGAGGUGAUGUGGAUGGACAGCCACUGCUUGUUUCUGAG
ensembl:lncRNA